rnacentral:snRNA from 1 species
GUGCCGGCUUUGUCAGCGCAUCUGUUAACAUUGGAAGCAUACAGAAAAAACUAGCCUGGUCCAUGCACAAACUGACAUGCACAUUAGUGAAGCAAAUAUAUAU